rnacentral:rRNA from 1 species
GGAGUCUGGGCCGUGUCUCAGUCCCAGUGUGGCUGUUUUGCCUCUCAGCACAGCUAAACAUCGUCGCCUUGGUGAGCCGUUACCUCACCAACUAGCUAAUGCUCCGCAGGACCAUCCUUUAGCGUUCCCUUGCAGGACCUUUAAAUACAUGAAGAUGCCUUCUUGUAUACUAUCCAGUUUUAGCCACCGUUUCCAGUAGUUAUCCUCGUCUAAAGGGCAGGUUCCCUACGUGUUACUCACCCGUUCGCCACUAGCAUUGCUGCUCGUUCGACUUGCAUGUAUUAGGCAUGCCGCCAGCGUUAAUC